GAUGAACGCUGGCGGCGUGCCUAAUACAUGCAAGUCGAGCGAACAGACGAGGAGCUUGCUCCUCUGACGUUAGCGGCGGACGGGUGAGUAACACGUGGAUAACCUACCUAUAAGACUGGGAUAACUUCGGGAAACCGGAACUAAUACCGGAUAAUAUAUUGAACCGCAUGGUUCAAUAGUGAAAGACGGUUUUGCUGUCACUUAUAGAUGGAUCCGCGCCGCAUUAGCUAGUUGGUAAGGUAACGGCUUACCAAGGCAACGAUGCGUAGCCGACCUGAGAGGGUGAUCGACCACACUGGAACUGAGACACGGUCCAGACUCCUACGGGAGGCAGCAGUAGGGAAUCUUCCGCAAUGGGCGAAAGCCUGACGGAGCAACGCCGCGUGAGUGAUGAAGGUCUUCGGAUCGUAAAACUCUGUUAUUAGGGAAGAACAAAUGUGUAAGUAACUAUGCACGUCUUGACGGUACCUAAUCAGAAAGCCACGGCUAACUACGUG
rnacentral:rRNA from 1 species